UUUAGAAGAAAAGUAUAGAGCUGAAUUAUCAGUUUGGUAUCAGACCUUAAUGCUUCUCAGGUAAAAGUUACUGUUAGACUAACUAACUCAAAAUGGAGAAAGACCUGUAUACCCUCAACUAUUCUUUCCUCUGGGAAGUUCUGUUACUGGAUGACUCCUGCAUGCUGGUGAUGAUACGGAUUAAUAACAAUAGGAGCAAUAAUCAGGUCUUUUGUCACAGACAGGAUAUCCGUUGGUAAUAAUAUAUAAAAAUGAGACAAUAAAUCAGUUAAAUGCUUCAGCUGCUGGAAUGUUGACAGAACUGAAGGAGAUUGCUCUUUUGUUUUCUUCUAUUCUGUAUUCAUUAGCCUAACUUUUUGGCCCAGAACAGUUUUGUUUGCUUGCUCAACUCUCACUUUCUGUAUGUAUAAGAUGGUUGUUAGGAUAGGCCAUCUUUCUCUAUAUAGAAGUGGCAGCGUAUCGUAUCCAAAUUCUAUCAAUUUACGAAGAUUAGAACUUUACCAUCUCCAUUAUCAAUUAUUACCUCUACAUUUUCCAGUACAUCUUUAGGAGGAAAUAUCGAGGCUUAUCAUGUUCACGCACUCUCACCCCUGUGGGUAGAAAAGUCCUUACGAGGAAGUUUGAGGGGAUGAUCAAAUGAGUGUGGGCAAAAGAAAUUUUACUGCCUGUUUGAUAACCUUGCCAUGGAUGCUCGUCUUGUGGGAAAGAGGCAUUUGUGUGCCAGGUAUCUUAUCGUUCUUUUGUUUGUGCAAUCAUUGCCCCUGCAAACCCCUGUCCCCUUUAGGAUGGCUGAUGAAGUUUCUGACGUUUGUUCUUCUUCUCCUAUAUUCCAUCUUUCUCUCACACUUAACCUAAGCUUUCCACACUAACCUGGGGAUUGAGUUAAGGAUAUUUGGAUCCUACAGUUGUACACAGUUAAUGUGCUUGCAUGAAUUGUAAAGGGUUGGCAAACGCUGUGUUUGAUGUCUAUAGGGUCUCAUGCUUUAUUGUUACUAAAUACUAUCUAUGAACUUAGAAUGCUCACAUGCACAGUGUACUAUAUUGCGGAAAAUAUGCUGUUGUCAAGGAUACAAAAAUAAUUGUUUGGCUCAAAUCCUGAACAGUUUCCGCCAUUGAUUUUAAGAUAGUCGGUUUGUCGCUCAACCCCUUUAUGCUAAAGGCAAUGAGGUGAUUUUUCUGGGUGGUCCUCUCCCAUUUUGUAAUAAUGGAAGCUGAAAUACCACAAUGGAGAAAUGGAGGUUUUUGUUUUUUAAUUAAAAACGUAAUCCUUUUGUUUUUCACCCAUGUUUCCAGGGGGCAAUUUUGUAUAAUGUUUUAACAAAUGAAUGUUCUUCAUGAUUUAUCCUUGUCAACUUGUAACCUAUAUAUGUGUACUUUACUGGGAAUUAGAUGACAUAUACUCACACCUCAUCCUGGAUACUUGUUCUUUUUGCUUCUUUUCUACUUCUCCUUUCUGUGCUUUAUGCUGAUGCAGGUUCGUUUAGGUCCCAUCAAACUUCAGAUUCAUCUUUUAUAUAAUUCUCAGUUUCAUACAUGAAGAUCCUUGCGUUGGCGUCCUUAUACAUCGAAUUAAAAUUAAUUUUUACUUUUAAAAAACAUGUACAUAGUCUGAAUUUUUAUGUUUUAUGAUAUCAGAGGAACAGAUUAAUUCGGUUUCCCCUUGCUACAGGCAUCCAAUGAUGUCCUUGUUCAGGUCUGAGGAGUUUAAUCUUGAUGGGACAAAUAUCAGUGGCAUUGGAGAUGAAUUGAUACUGAUAAUUUGCUGACAAUGAUGGUUCAUACUCUUACUAGUGUCAUUUUACGAAUCGGUGCAAAUUUGAGAUGGAGGCUUUUUCUUGGUUCAUCAUAAAUAUAUAUAGCCUGUUCUUUGCUGCAACCUAGAAACAAGUCCUAUUUAUGUUUUUAAGUGAUCUUGACUAAUGUGCUACUUCAAUUUCAGCACAGCCGAAGUGUAUGCAGUGAAAUACUUUAUAUUUGAAUCAGCUAAUUGCACGAUAUACAAGUAAUUGACAUGCCUUAGCUCUGUAAGAAUUUCCACAUAUAAGCUUAAAGGUUCCAGCGUUACACUUUCUUGUGAUCAUCAAGACACCUCUGAAACCUUUUAUUGCGUCUGAGACUUUCAAUGGAGAUGUAAAAAUUGAUUAUAUAGAGCUAUUAUUAUGAAUUCAAAGAUAACAUCAGGAAGACUUUAAAGCUUAUUAUUUGAUGCAGAUAUACAGAUGAGAGAGCUGAAAGUUUAUCAAUUAUUAGGUCAAUAAUGUGUUCAUGUAAGUGUUGAUAAACAGUUGUACUGUAUUCUGAAGUUUUUGUUGUCUGUGUUUGUAUUUGCAUUUUAAAUCAAAUAGUUUGGAUAUUAAUGAUAUGACACAGCUGAUCAACUCUUUAAGUAAUCCAUGUUAUAACCUUUUAGAAAAACUGAUUUUCAUGUUCAUUUAGUAUUUUGAACUUGUAUCAUUCAUUAAUGUUGCUCCAAUCUUUCAGCAUGGUGUUUUAUGUUUUUUUAGCUCAUAACGUGUCCUCUUGAUAAAUUUCUUGUUUUCCAUUGAUUGCGUCAAGCUGCUGCAUUGCACACAAUGACUUCUUUUCAUCUUUAUUUUUUAUUGACUAUAUUCUUCCUAGACGAUUGCUUUGUAAUUCUUAUAUAUCAUUAUCAGCUUAUUGAUUCGAGAAUCUGCUUUAGUCAUUUGGCAUUUUGAGAAUUAUGAAAAGCUAUGGGAAUAUACCCGUGUCUUGAAGCAGUUCUUUUCUUGGAGUAGUGGAGCCAAAAUUGAUGAUAACAUCUUGUUGAAAUUCACCAUAGACCUCUUUAUUCAUUGCCGCCGUGACACUCAAGGGUUUUGUGGAAAGAAGGGAACUCUAACUUGCAUGGGGAUGUGCAGCAGAAGGGGAAAAGAGAAAAGCAUAGGAAAUGAAGGUUUGAUAAUCAUGGCUUUUGGAAGAAAGAAGAAAGGGAAUAAAGGGUACGCCUGUGGAGAUGAGAUUCCCUGAUGAGAUAUGACAUAUGCAAGUGUUUUAGAGAGAAAGAAAGGAAGAUUAAGAAUAGAAUAGAAGCUUUUGGUUUGUCUGGUUGUGCCCAGAGCAACAUAGAAAGAAGGCGUCUUUUCUACUGUGCAAAUGACAUGGACGUUCCAAGGGGCCGAGCCAUGGGGACGUCCACAAAAUUUGAGAAAGAGUCUAGCGGAAAAGAAGGCUGAUCAGCAGAAUGGUAAUCCUCAACCCAGGCAUCUUUUUGAUAAUUACCAGCGUUGACAUUUUUCCACCAUCUUUUAUUUUCUUUUUGGGGUUCAAACUUUGUACCACCAAUUCCCGGACCACCACUAACCCUUGCACAAAAACACAUACAGCAUCAACUUAAGUCACUUUUACACCCACGCUUACAGCAGGUUUUUACACCCUCUACUCUACUCCCUCUUUAGAAAAGGCUAUACUGCUUUGAAUGCACUGGUUCCUUUCAGUUUUCUUAGUAGUCCAGAACCAGAAAUAAAGGAACCAAGGGGAAAAUGCUUCAAAGGUUUAGGUUUUUGAAAACUGAGCAGCACGACAGCCGGGACGACAUACCUUGAUGGUUCCGUCUUGUGUUUUACUAUUAGAUUUUUGUUCCGAUUUGAGGAUUUAUUUGCUGUACUAUCUUGGAUGACGAAAGAAUUUAGAAUAGCUUGAGAAAUAUACUU